GCCCUUCUUGGAAAAGACAUAUACUAAAAUUGGAUUGAUUCUGAGAAGUUUAGCAUGGUUCCUGGGCAAGGUUGGCACUGCUUAGCAGUGAUGUGAUCCAAGUUUAA